GCCCGGAGGCCAGUCGGGCUGCCCGCGCCGGGAUCGGAGCUUCUGUCGUACCGGCGAAGCUCGGUCUCGUCGUUCUUUACCUGUGCACUUGACCAGCGAGUCAGCUGGAAUUGCGUGACUGUGAUCGGCGCUGCUUUCGCAGUAAAUGGGAGCUCAUAAGACGCGGUGAAUGUCACGGUCUCUUCUCCGGCCGUUCAACGAGGGCCGGCGUGAGGAGGGGCUGCCUGCGCUGUGGAAGCCUCUGAGUCCCGGUCGCGGGACAGCGGAGCGCAGGCGGAACCAGCUUCUCAUGGGGAGGAGGGUGCCUGGGGUAAGAGGCUCAGAGACUAUCCUGACAUCACUGCAACCAUGAUUUCACCAGGAUAAUGUGCUGCAAAGUUAUUGUCAUAUGAAAUCUCUACUCCUGGAAAGAGAAAGUCUCUCACAAGACUUUGAUCUAGGAUGACACUUCAUUCCUGCAGACCUGUGACAAGUCAUGGCAGUGUCCCCUGAGUCGAGCUCACAGCAUGCUCAGGAGCUGCCUCCUCUGGAGUGUCCUGUGUUACCUCCUCAGUGGCCCAAGUGCAGGGCAUACCUAUGAGCCAGCAGUAAAGCACACACCAAGGUUCAGUGGAUGGAGGUGUGGAGGAAGUCUGAAGCAAGGAGGGAAGCGGAAUGCCAGGCAUGGGAGGCCUGGAGCAUGCAGCCAGUCCCAGUCCUGCUGGCUUGGGAAUGCUCUGUAAUGCCUGCAUGCCAGGCAAGAGGGAGUGACUUCAAAGCACAUCUUUAUUAGGGUACACUGCUUAUCAUCAAAGAAAUGUCAGGGCUGCUCUACACUGACUCUCUGCCUGCGGCACUAAACUAGCCUGUCAUUCAGAAGUCUCAGUACAAACCACAACUGCUGACAGAGUCCUGGAAAAAUUUAUUUUUCCACAUCUAAUUGCCCUUUUUGCUUUGUAAACAUAAAGGUUGAAGCUUAAACUCUGACAGCUCCAGUAGCCUUUUGCUUAACUCCUUAAAAAAAAUGACAUUCGGCAUGUUAAAUUUUGCUUUUACCACUGCCUGAAAUCUCACAAAAUCUGCACAAUGUUUUUUUAAAGAUCAUUGAAGCAUUUCAGCACUCACUUUGGGAAAAACCCUUCAACUAACAAAAAGACAAAAGCUGGUGCCUGAAGAGCCAAGACCUUUCCCCAUAGCAAUUCAGGAUAAAAAUGCUUGACCAAAAGAGGCACAGCGAGCAAUUGGCAUUCCACCUUUCCCUUGGAGCAGAUUAAAGAAUGCCUAUCUGCUCUUGUUAUUGUUCCAGAAAGAAAUGAAACAUCGAAGACAGGAGAAAAAGAUAAACAACUGUUAAAAAGCAAAAUUGGAUGUAUAUAGCAGUCUGAAAACUUCCAGUUCAGUUUCUUCAGUGACAUGGGUUCUCUGUCCUGGAGGAGGAUCCCCCGAAGUGGGGGGAUGCACUGUUCCCCAGACUCUGCACUGCCUCCUCUGAGAGCAUCGUGCCUGCAGGAGCCUCCUCUGGGUCAGGGCUUUUAGCUGCUCCUGCUGCAGUCUUUCACCAUUCAAGAUGCAUGUCCUAAAUCACUUCAACCACAGAGAAGUGAUUUUGUAGCCACAGCUCUUGAAGAAAUAUCCUCUGUUUUUCUGGGAGGUGCUGCCCAUUCCCUCCGUCUGACAUGAAAACAGGGUCAUUGCAUCACCAUCAUUGUCUCUGCAGAGACCCUCCUGGCCUGGGCUCUGCUUCCAUCUGCCCACGGAGAUGAGGACCAGACUGCCCUGCCGCCAGCCUCCAAACCUGCAUGGCACAGACCCUGUGCUCGUCCCUGCCCCUGCAGCCAGCCUGGCCAGCACCCAGCUACCCCCAGCUGAUGGAUCUGUGUCUGUGAACGAGUGGCAGCGUGGUCGGCAUUGUCCUGAGUGUCAGAUUCUUCCUAAGUGGCAGCUCUAAUGGGCUGUGGGUGAUCAGAUGCUCCUGGGAUAACAAGUUUUUGGAAAGAGAUAAAUGCAGCAAAUGUGCACGAACAGGGGGAUAUUGUCAUGGCUUAACCCCAGCAAAAAACUCAGUCCCACACAACUGUUUGCUCACCCUUCUCCCUCAGAGGGAUGGGAAGGAGAAUCAGAAAAAGGGUGUUUUUCUGUAGAUUGAAAUAAGAACAGUUCAAUUAUUAAAAUAAAGUAAAAUAUUGCUACUUCUACCCUGGAGUUCAGUAGAGCUGACUUUGGCCUCUUCAGGGAUCUGCUGUCAGUGUCCUUUUCAUAGAAUAUCUUCCAUACUUUCCCAGAGAUUCAGUUUCUCUAUCCAGUGCAUGUUUUAGUUCCUGUCCUCCAGAGUUCACAGGUAGUGCUUGGUUCCCAUCUCUGCUGUUGGCUUUAGUUUUGUUUCUGCAGACAUAUUUGACUACUUCCUGGCCACUGUUUCAUGGAGGAUGUAAAUUUAACCAGAGGUGUUGUCAUGGUUUGACACUGGCCAAGCAUCAGGCACCCACAAAAGGCACUCGCUUUCCCUCCCCUACCACAUGUGGACAGCAUAGAGAAAAAAAUUAAGAAAGGGUUUAUGAGUUGAGAUAGGGACAGGGAGAAAACUCUUCAAGGGCAAAACAGGCUCAACUUAGAGGUACAAAGUACAGGUGUACAGGUGCAAGUGGAGGAACCUUGUGUAGAUGCUCCCUGGUUAUCACUGGACCAUGUCACUUUCCUCUUUCAUUAGCCUUGUUUUAGCUACCCACUCCUGUACUUCUCCUUCAGUCCAUCAGACACUUCAUUUCUCCCUUGCAGGGCUCAGUUGACAGGCAUUUUUGCUCUUCACCAGACAGCGUGUGUUCUUGUCAGCUGCCAGGCAGCUGAUCAUGAUUAGAUUGUAGUUGUGAUAGUGGUUUCCUGUCUUUCAAGCCUGAACAGAUGGUGUACUGCUCCCAGUCCAAGGCUUGACUUUCAUAGUGCUUCAUGGCUUGGUCAAAUGGCAGUUGUGGAAUCUGUGCACAUGAAGCCUCUCAAGAAGACCAUUGUGAGGGAAAGGAGCAACUGUGUCCUCUAAGAACCCUGCAAAGUUAUACCCACUUCAGAGGAGUGCUGGGGUGCUUUUGUUUGUUGGAUGCAGUCCUCCAAACUACAGUGCUGUUCCUCACCUUAAAAAUCUGUUGCUAUCUCAGUCUCUCAAUAUCAUAUUUAGGCUUGAUAUUUUAGAGAGUAACUAGUGUUUUAUCCAGUAAGAGAUGCUACUUUUCAAUGUUAUGUUACAGGAUCAAUAAGGACCAGGAAUGGGGCCCUAUAUGAUAGGCCUGAUAAUGGAUUUGCUCCCAGAAUUUCCAGAUUUCCUUCUUCCUCUGUCAGUUUUCCAUUCUAACAUUACAGGUUUUCCUAUCUAUCAGCUAUACAGGGUAACCUGAUGUGGCUUCUUCUGUAGAAGGUGUAUUGGGGCUUGCAUCAGUGACAGAAGCCCCCCAUGCCUGAGGAGUCUGGUGGUGAUGGAGCUGUCUCAGGAAGGAGCUCCCCUGCACAGUUCAGUAGACUUGGGCAGUAUUCUGACUGCCUUGUGAAGAUCCAUGAAAUGAAUGAUCAUCAAAUGUGGCCACUCCCUUCCAAAAAAUAACAUUUCUGCUGCACCUCAUCCUGUAACAAAACAGCUUCUUCUCAUAAAAUAAUAAGCUUCCAUCUCUUCAUUUUUUGCAUUGCAUGGGAAUGACUGGCAACCUGAUCACAUGUGCCAAUUUAUUAACUAAAUCUCAUUUACUAACUGGGAACAAAUUAUUUUUCUUGUAGCUGCUGAAUACAAAUGAGGUUGGGCUUCAGAGCUGCCCAGGUGCCAGGAAGCUUCCUUGGCCCAUUUGUCCCCGUGUCAAUGACAGUUGCACUCUGCCAGUAAAAAACUUGUUUUCUGAUAGGCCCUGCUAGCUGUGAGAGGGUUGCUGAGCUCCAGGCUAAGGAAUGCUUACACAGGAGGAAGGUUCAGAGACCUAUCUCUGGUGCUGAGCUGCAAGAGCUCUGUUCUAGUGCAGAGGAACACAUCCCCAGCGCUGGCAAUAAUUUCUUCCAAACUGUGUGCCCUGCCCAAGUGACAGAGAGAGAGCGGCCAGCCUUGGAGCACUCCACUUCUAAGGGCAGCCAUCAGCUGUGGCCUGUGCCCCAUCCUGACACACGUCUCUAUAGUGACAGAGCAUGGGAAAGAAUGAUGUUCUGAGAGCUGUGGGGACACAGCAAGGCUUUACACCCUUCUGACAAGGGCCAUCCCACCCACUGCCUGCUGCCCUCAGGACAGGGCCAGCCAGGACAGGCAGAGCCCAGGUGGAGACUGAGGGGGAAGGGGCAUCUAUUAGCGAGUUUCCCUGCCCAGGCUGCUCGCUUUUCUGAGAUCUUCCUCUAGGUCUCCCAUAGGAAAUUAUCCCUGGGUACACCCUCUUGGCUCAGCAUUUCCAGUUGCUCUCUGGGGGAGCAUCUUGGACAUCCACUGCACCCAUUGGUCCUGUGCCUACAUGCAGUUCCCAAACAGUGGGUAAAGUGACCUUCCUAAAACAGCCUGGCACUCACUCCUCUGCACAGAGUCACUGUGCUGGCACUCACUCUCUGCCAGGAGACCAUCUCUGUGUAGAAUAUGGUGGUCCUUUUCAACAGAGGCUUUGGCAAACAAUCAGGUUGAGUUUUGAAAUCUCUGGGAAGGGCCAGUCUGUGAUGAGUGUUUGCUUCUUCAUACCUGCCUCCAGGUUUUAUGAUUUUUCCCGAGAAGGAAAAAUAACAAAAAAGAUAAUUCUUUUAAAACUGUUUCUCUGAGAUCCCAGGUUGUUAAGCUUUAUGCUGCUAGAUAAAUCAAACUAACUAACUGAGUUAAUUUGUCUGACCAUAAAGUGGAUUCAAUAAGUGUAAAACAAAACUAAUUGGUUUGCUUCCAUACAAAUUUAAUCACACUAUAAAAUGUGAUCAAUGCAAAUAAAAAGCAUUGAGUAGGUUGAUUAUCAAGAAUCUAUAAAGGAAAAAAAUGCGCUUUCAGGAAUUGAAAACUGUGUGGAUUUCCAUCUCUUUGCUGAUCAUCCCAUGAUGUAGACCCAGUCCAAAUGUGCUGUGCAGGCGGGGGCUGUGGACAGGACCUUGAGAAGAAGCACUCAGCUUUCAGUGAGCUUUGUCUUGACUGCUGCAGCACUCUCAUAGAGGCCUCUGAGAUCUCAGGAGGGACAGGAGGGCAGGGGUCAGUCCCCUGUCAGUCCCUGAGCCAGGCACAGUCCCUCUCCUGCUCAGGAAGGAGGAGCAGAGAGGAGCACUGCAGAGUCACAGUGGGUGCCCUGACCAGAGGUGACAGUUGUGUUGCUUUGCCUGCUACUGCCCCACCAUCAGCUCCUGCCCCUGAGCUUCUGGGAGAAGCACAACUGGGAGCCUCUUGCUGUGUCAGGCACCCUGGAGAGCUUGCUUCCCCUCACUCCUUUCUCCCAUCUCCCCAGAUUUCAAGGUUAAGUUCUAGUAUCUCAUAAAACAUGCUCAUGCCAUAAUUUCAGCCUGCAGAAAGUCCUUUCCAUGCAAGGGCUAGGAUCCAUAUGAAUUGCCCUGUUCUAUAGCUCCAACUACAAUAAUGAAACUUUAGAUGCUGACAGUUUUUUUGAAAAAUACCUAAUAUAGCUUAAAUAAUUAUUUAAUGCAGACAAAUAGAAAAGAGAGCAUCCAUAUGCUGUGUUGCAAUAAAUAAUACUUGUAACUUGCUGGGCAGUAGCAGCAGCAGCAUGAACAAAGGGCUCUAGCAUGGCUAGAGAAGGAGGGUCUAGCUGAGGAGUCACCACAGGAAGGCCCUGCUGGGUGCUUGUGGUGUUGAGGGACAGGAUGAGAACCCUCCACAAGCCAAAUUAAUACAGGACUGUUGAACCUGGGGGAGUAGAAGGAGCUCUUUGUUCUGCUGCUGGUGGUGCCAACAGCUGGCAGGGUCUGCGGGCAGAGGGGCAGCGUUGCCCAGCACAGGUGGUGGGAAGUAGGAGAGGAGUGGGGGCCCCACGCAGGCUACCUGGGCAGCACCUCUGCUCUCUCCAGCUGCAGCCACAUCCCAGAGGUUCUGCACCACCUGCCCAUGCUGUCUGUGCCCCUGGAGCAGGGUGCAGAGGUUCUCUGUGCUGGCAGAGCCUGGACUCACGUGCAGCCUUGUCCUGCAGGCCUUGUUGGGCAGUUGCUGCAGACUGGAAGGAAAGCGUAAAAGAGUACAGGGAGGCAAAUGGCUCCUUGUGAGUGGAAUAAACUCCCAGCAAGGGUGCUGCUCUGCCAGGAGCAAAGCCUGUUCGCUUUUGGAGCUGCUCCUCCACCACUUUCCCAGGCUGAUGUGGUUUUUGUGAGUAUAGCUCUCAGUCUUUCUUUGAGCUCCACAGUCAAUGACUGCUUAUGGGUUUUUCCUUUGCUUUAUAAGCUCAGUGGUAUUUGGGAAAGCAUCCGGAUCCCCUCCAUGAGCUCUGACAGAUUACAAGGGCUGCACUUAACUGAGUUCACAGUGUUCCACCGUGUCAGCCACACAGCAGCAGGGCUGCGGAGAUGUGCCUUGGCAUAGCAGAAGAUAAAAAACUACAGCAGAGAUGGAAGAUAAGUGGCAAUAAAAACUAAAAUGUGGAAUGUCUGCCCUUUAAAAUAUAUUAGGCAGUUUAUAAAUAAGCUCUGUGUUUUUAGGAUGAAUGCAGAAUUGUUCAGUCCCUGAAGAAUCUGACCUUGAAGAGAAGAAAUGCUGUGAGCAGCUUUCAAAAUGUUCUCAGGAUGAUCAGACAGGACAAUUGCUCUUGCUUAUUAUUUCAGCAGUAGAUGGUGUGUUUGGCUGGUGCAGUUUGGGAAGAAACUUGAGCUCCUCUUUCUCCCAGGUAAUCUCAGUGUGAUGUCAGAGGCAGAGAAGAACUCGAGGGUAAAGUUACCAAGUGUUUGGUGAGAUUUCCAGGGAUGCGUCACUCCUGGCACACGAGUCACCACUCUUGGCUGGGUGACUUGUGUGCUGGUUCUGACAGCCAAGCUCUGAGGGUGUGAAGCUGAACCAGACAGAAGUGCUCAGCCUGGUUCUCGCCACCUCGCUUGGCUGCCUUGUGCUGCAAAGCUCCUGCCUGGUGAGCUGAGCUGUGCGGGUCUGCCGUGCCAGCAAAGCUCCUGCCUGCACCCUCAUCCUGGAGGGAGGAAAGAGCAUCUCUCAGGACGUGGGUGCUUGAGCUGUGCUGUUCCUGUUCUCCAAGGGUGGUUGUACACGUGUCUCCCAAGUCUCACAGUAGUGAGGCAGCCUCUUUGGGGUGAGGAGGACUUUCUGCUGAUACUGGAGAUGUUCCCAUUUGUGUUAGGUACUUAGCUUUCUUGUAGGGUGAAGUAGCAAGCCUGUGAACAGAAGACUCUGUGGGGAGUGAGGAGAGGUGGGCUUUGGCUUUUGUUCUGGUAAAUGCUGACGAGUCAGAUGCUUUCUCUGGACAGCUAGAGGUUCUGGCCCAAACUGGAAAAGGCUGCUGCUGAUUUGGGAUUCUUCUGCUUUCAGGUAGCCUGCACUGAGGGCCAAGUCUUGUCUUCUGCUGCAAUAUCUCAGUCUUGGUGAAUGAAUGCUGUCCUACCAGCCUCUGUUUGGGCAAUAUGGAAAACAGUGGCCCUGCAGAUUCUUUAAGGGGUACGGAGUGAGUAGAGUGGUGAGGUGAACCAUAGCCUCCCUAUUUUAAAUAUGUUCUUAGAGAAAACAGAGAUUAUUCCCUGUGUGGAGGAAUAACCAGCAAAUUGAUACCUGCACAUCCUGAUGCAGGGAGCCAGAAGCCCCUUGUGCUCUAGGCUCUGGCCGAGAAAAUGUAAACAAACUCCAGUUUUAUGUCUGACCAAGGAGAUAUAAACCAAGCAUAUAUUGUAGCCUUUUAAAUAUGUUGACAUUUUACAAUCCAUCAAGGCCUUUAAUUGUAUUUUGAGUGAGUUGUUCUAUAUGUAAAUACUAGUUAAUGUUGAAAUUGUUUAUAGCCAAAUUGUCUGUUUAUGCAAAUUGUGUUCCAAGAUCACAGAGCUUCUAUUGUACCAUAAACAUGUCUGUUUUAUUUAAUGUUGGAAAUGUUUCCUUUGGCUGCUGUAGCUCUUCGGUGCUGCUAGUGUGGGGGUGAGUGCCAGCCUCCCCGUGGGGCAGAGAGAUGUGAUGGCUGCUCCAAGAGCUCCUGCUGUGCAUCUGACUCCCUGAAGCUGGUCCCCUGGGAUGGUGUUUGAACUGCUUUUCUGCCUGCACAGUCCAUGGGCUGUGGUAUCCUCCACAAACCUUGGAGAGCCCAGUGGCUCCCUCCACUCAGUCUGGCCUGGGAUGCAGAGCCCCCACAGGUGCAGAUGCUGCUAUGUGAAGGGAGGGAUUCCCCCACACUCUCUGGCAUUCCUUGAUCUGGUUUCUGUUAAUUCGACGUUUUGGUGCAGAAGAUGGCCAGUAUUAAAACCCAGACUGCUCCUACUGGGUGUGAAGUGCAGAGAAAUCAGCAUGCUGCUCCUGCCUGUGCUGCGCCCAGGCAGUAAUCGAGAUCACCACCCCGCGAUAAAUCUCUUCCUGCCAUCGGACAGAAGAGAGAAGCAGUUACUGUGGGCUUUGCCUCCAGGUUUAUUAUCACGGGGAAACACAUGCAAAUGAAUGGCUCACCCGAUACAAAUCAGUCGUGCCGGAGCGUUUGCCGGCUGCGAUGCAGACACACGAUAUCUGUGAUCUGCAGGCAAGGAGCAAGCUCAGUCGUGCCUUUGCAGUUGUGUGCAGAGACUCUCACUGAGUGCAGCCGCCUCUGAACUGGCCUCUGUGCCCAGGCCAUGCUCCUUUCCUCCUGGAUUUUUCAGUCUAAUAGUACUGUUGAUCUGGCCUUUUUGUUUGCUCAAUGUCAGCAUUCCUCGGGGAAUGUUGCAGAGCACUAGCAGCUACACAGCCUGAAGGUGGGCUCCCAUAUUAUUUCUUCAUUAACAUUUGUUGUUCAUAAAUAUAUAUUCACUCCUAUUUAUCACAAGAACACCGAUUACAAACCAUAAAUUCUAACUGUGGGGAAUAUUUCAGUCCAGUUUUAUUAAAAAGUGAUUUUUUAAAAUGUUGCCGAGGCUUUUAGCCAGUUAUGUGCUACUAAAUAUUUAAAUCUGUAUCUCUUGUGGCAUGCUGAAUUACAGCAAGGGGAUAUUUAACGUUCCCAUUUCUCCAGCAUAAAUCUGUGAAAGAUUGACUGUAAGAAAAAUACAGUCAGGAACAGCCCACGUACUUGCUGAGUGCUCUCUCGUGGCAUGCGCCCACUGGCACGUCCCUGCCGC